CGUGGAGACAGGUGGUGCAAGGCUGUCGUCAGCUCGUGUCGUGAGAUGUUGGGUUAAGUCCCGCAACGAGCGCAACCCUCACCCCUAGUUGCCACCGGGUUAAGCCGAGCACUCAAGGGGAACUGCCAGCGUCAAGCUGGAGGAAGGCGGGGAUGACGUCAAGUCAUCAUGCCCCUUACGCCCUGGGCUACACACGUGCUACAAUGGCCAGUACAAAGGGACGCGAGACUGCGAAGUGGAGCUAAUCCCAAAAAGCUGGUCUAAGUUCAGAUUGCAGUCUGCAACUCGACUGCAUGAAGGAGGAAUCGCUAGUAAUCGCGUAUCAGCCCGGCGCGGUGAAUACGUUCCCGGGCCUUGUACACACCGCCCGUCACACCACGAAAGCUGUCUGUACUCGAAGUCGCUGAG
rnacentral:rRNA from 1 species